UCAUUUUUCUAACUGGAUCCAAUCCUGUUUACAAACAGGUUUUUGAGGGUGGUAUGCUUCAAUUAUAGAAGCAGAUUAUUAUGGUAAAUACUGAGAUCAGAAAGCAUGUGUAACUGUGUCAUAGAGUGAUUGCAUCCAGGCAUUAUUACAAGCCCUUAUUGAAGGAAUACUCAGGGCAGUGGUGAUAACCGCUAUCAUAGCUACCAUUAAAUUAUUCAUUGUGACUGGUUGUCCCGCUUUCCUCAGGUUUUCUUCUGCCAUGUGUGACAGCUUCUUGAUCUGUCCCCAGGUGGGUGGCUGUGUUCAACAGGUGUUGCUCAUGACAGUUGGGGUCGUCCUCAGCAUCAGCCUCGACAUGGCUGCAGCUGCGGGGUCCUCAGCAUCCUCCCAGAAUCUCCUCAUCAGCAUCGGUCUCAUGUUGCUUGACUCUGAAGAUUCUGAGCUGUCCCAGCCUAUGUCCAUGAAGGAUUGUAAGGAGCCCUCAAUUCACCUGUGCUCUCCCAAGAGAGAGCUAGCACAUUAUGGGGUGGUGGCAACCCACCAUUUUUAGCACCAACUGCUGAAAGAUAGAAAAGAAAAGAAUUGAGGAUUCUCAGAAAAGAGAAGACUUGAAGUGAGCCACAUCUUGGAUUCAUUCGAGGCCUCUGUGUUGCUCCACUGGAUGAAGCUGACUGCCCUGGCAAUAUGACUGUGACUACACAGCUUGGAAUGAAGUAGGCUUUGGACCACUGGUUUUAAGAAGAAUUCUGGAUUGAUGUAUAGAAGAUGCGAGGAAGCAAGAGACAGACUACAAAAUGAUACUAAGCAGAACUAAAAAGAAAUGACUGUCUAGUUGCAGGAAAACAAGUCCAGGACUCCAACUGAUUGUGCCUUAUGG